UACGAAGGGGGCUAGCGUUGCUCGGAAUCACUGGGCGUAAAGCGCACGUAGGCGGAUUGUUAAGUCAGGGGUGAAAUCCUGGAGCUCAACUCCAGAACUGCCUUUGAUACUGGCGAUCUCGAGUUCGGGAGAGGUGAGUGGAACUGCGAGUGUAGAGGUGAAAAUUCGUAGAUAUUCGCAAGAACACCAGUGGCGAAGGCGGCUCACUGGCCCGAUACUGACGCUGAGGUGCGAAAGCGUGGGGAGCAACAGGGA
rnacentral:rRNA from 1 species